UACGUAGGGGGCAAGCGUUGUCCGGAUUUAUUGGGCGUAAAGAGCGUGUAGGCGGCCUGGAAGGUCAGCUGUGAAAACUCGAGGCUCAACCUCGAGACGUCGGUUGAAACCACCUGGCUAGAGUCCGGAAGAGGAGUGUGGAAUUCCCGGUGUAGCGGUGAAAUGCGCAGAUAUCGGGAAGAACACCCGUGGCGAAGGCGGCACUCUGGGACGGUACUGACGCUGAGACGCGAAAGCGUGGGGAGCGAACAGG
rnacentral:rRNA from 1 species